UGUGAUAUCAAGUUUGCAAGCGGUAGGCUACGUCGAUGCGUGCCCGUUUUUUUCUCUCGUGAAACCAGUACGGAAAAAACUAUUUGCAAAUCGUAACACACGCACAAACGGAAGUGAGCACGGACCACGAUAGAAAUAAUCAAUUGGUUGGUAAGUAUCAUGCUUCGCGUUAAAUGGAACAGCGGUUUUCAAAAUAGAUAAUAUUUCCCUCUUUCACCAGCAGUGCCAAAAACAAAAGGACAGGAGAGGCAGGAACGAUCAUUCAACGCGUUAGCGCCGGACGAAGGAGAAGCGGCAGGAAGGCAGGAACGAUCCUCCAACGUGCUAGCGCCUGGUAGAGGAGAGGCGGCAGGAAGGUAGGGACGAUCAUCCAGCACGCUAGCGCAGCACCUGGGAGCAGCGAGGGGGAGGCAAGCAGGAAUAAUUUUUAACGCGUGCACACCAUUCGACGAAGACAACGCUGGAUGAAAGGAAGAACGAGGAGAGAAGGCAGGCAAGACGGGUACGUGUGUAUUCCGCACCGGUUUUCGGCAGUGUGAAUUGUGUGAGUAUGUAAAUUUGUAUGUGCGAGUAAGAAGGUAAAAUAAAGAGCGUAAGCAUGUGCGGAAUCGACAAAUGA